CUGCAGUCAUUCUGAAGACGCUGGAGUGCAAUGUUCUUCUGAAGAUGUUGAUUAUUGUACAUUGGGGCUGGACAACUGUCACAGUCGAGCUCGAUGCAUUAAUGAAACUGAUGGUUUUUCAUGCAGAUGUAAUCCAGGCUAUACCGGCAACGGUGUUUUUUGCAAUGAUAUUAAUGAAUGUUCAUUUCCAAACGCCUGCCAUUCCAACGCUUUUUGCACCAACACUCCUGGAUUCUACCGAUGCUAUUGCAAAAG